UAAUGCGUUAGAAUUAGAAUCUAAAUC
rnacentral:tRNA from 1 species